rnacentral:rRNA from 1 species
GAUGAACGCUAGCGACAGGCCUAACACAUGCAAGUCGAGGGGCAGCGAGGAUGUAGCAAUACAUUUGUCGGCCGACCGGCGCACGGGUGAGUAACGCGUAUGCAACCUACCCGACACAGGGGGAUAACCCGGAGAAAUCCGGACUAAUACCGCAUAAAACAGGGGUCCCGCAUGGGAAUAUUUGUUAAAGAGUUAUCGGUGUCGGAUGGGCAUGCGUUCCAUUAGCUAGUUGGUGGGGUAACGGCUCACCAAGGCUACGAUGGAUAGGGGUUCUGAGAGGAAGGUCCCCCCACACUGGUACUGAGACACGGACCAGACUCCUACGGGAGGCAGCAGUGAGGAAUAUUGGUCAAUGGACGGAAGUCUGAACCAGCCAAGUCGUGUGAAGGAAGACGGUUCUAUGAAUUGUAAACUUCUUUUGUCGGGGAGUAAAGUCAGCUACGCGUAGCUGUUUGCAAGUACCCGAAGAAAAAGCAUCGGCUAACUCCGUG